CAGCAGCCACGGUAAUACCAGCACCUCGAGUGGUCAGGAGGUUUAUUGGGCCUAAAGCAUCCGUAGCCGGUUGCAUAAGUUUUCGGUUAAAUCUAUGCGCUUAACGUAUAGGCCGCCGAAAAUACUGUGCAGCUAGGGAGUGGGAGAGGUACACGGUACUCGAUAGGAAGGGGUAAAAUCCUUUGAUCUAUUGAUGACCACCUGUGGCGAAGGCGGUGUACCAGAACACGUUCGACGGUGAGGGAUGAAAGCUGGGGGAGCAAACCGGAUUAGAUACCCGAGUAGUCCCUGUCUCUUAUAU
rnacentral:rRNA from 1 species